rnacentral:rRNA from 1 species
AUUGAACGCUGGCGGCAUGCCUUACACAUGCAAGUCGAACGGCAGCACGGGAGCAAUCCUGGUGGCGAGUGGCGAACGGGUGAGUAAAGUAUCGGAACGUGCCCAGUCGUGGGGGAUAACGUAGCGAAAGUUACGCUAAUACCGCAUACGAUCUAUGGAUGAAAGCGGGGGAUCGCAAGACCUCGCGCGAUUGGAGCGGCCGAUAUCAGAUUAGGUAGUUGGUGGGGUAAAGGCUCACCAAGCAGACGAUCUGUAGCGGGUCUGAGAGGACGACCAGCAACACUGGGACUGAGACACGGCCCAGACUCCUACGGGAGGCAGCAGUGGGGAAUUUUGGACAAUGGGCGCAAGCCUGAUCCAGCCAUGCCGCGUGCAGGAUGAAGGCCUUCGGGUUGUAAACUGCUUUUGUACGGAACGAAAAGGUUUGACUUAAUACGUUGGACUCAUGACGGUACCGUAGGAAUAAGCACCGGCUAACUACGUGCCAGCCGCCGCGGUAACAC